GAUUCUCUUCGGAGAAGAGCGGCGGACGGGUGAGUAACGCGUGGGUAACCUGCCCUGUACACACGGAUAACAUACCGAAAGGUAUGCUAAUACGGGAUAACAUGUUUUGAUCGCAUGGUCGAAAUAUCAAAGCUCCGGCGGUACAGGAUGGACCCGCGUCUGAUUAGCUAGUUGGUAAGGUAACGGCUUACCAAGGCGACGAUCAGUAGCCGACCUGAGAGGGUGAUCGGCCACAUUGGAACUGAGACACGGUCCAAACUCCUACGGGAGGCAGCAGUGGGGAAUAUUGCACAAUGGGCGAAAGCCUGAUGCAGCAACGCCGCGUGAGCGAUGAAGGCCUUCGGGUCGUAAAGCUCUGUCCUCAAGGAAGAUAAUGACGGUACUUGAGGAGGAAGCCCCGGCUAACUACGUGCCAGCAGCCGCGGUAAUACGUAGGGGGCUAGCGUUAUCCGGAAUUACUGGGCGUAAAGGGUGCGUAGGUGGUUUCUUAAGUCAGAGGUGAAAGGCUACGGCUCAACCGUAGUAAGCCUUUGAAACUGAGAAACUUGAGUGCAGGAGAGGAGAGUAGAAUUCCUAGUGUAGCGGUGAAAUGCGUAGAUAUUAGGAGGAAUACCAGUUGCGAAGGCGGCUCUCUGGACUGUAACUGACACUGAGGCACGAAAGCGUGGGGAGCAAACAGGAUUAGAUACCCUGGUAGUCCACGCCGUAAACGAUGAGUACUAGCUGUCGGAGGUUACCCCCUUCGGUGGCGCAGCUAACGCAUUAAGUACUCCGCCUGGGAAGUACGCUCGCAAGAGUGAA
rnacentral:rRNA from 1 species